UCUUCCGCAAUGGACGAAAGUCUGACGGAGCAACGCCGCGUGCGUGAUGAAGGCUUUCGGGUCGUAAAACGCUGUUGUUAGGGAAGAACAAGUGCACGUUGAAUAAGCUGGCACCUUGACGGUACCUAACCAGAAAGCCACGGCUAACUACGUGCCAGCAGCCGCGGUAAUACGUAGGUGGCAAGCGUUAUCCGGAAUUAUUGGGCGUAAAGCGCGCGCAGGUGGUUUCGUAAAUCUGAUGUGAAAGCCCACGGCUCAACCGUGGAGGGGCAUUGGAAACUGGGAGACUUGAGUGCAGAAGAGGAAAGUGGAAUUCCAUGUGUAGCGGUGAAAUGCGUAGAGAUAUGGAGGAACACCAAUGGCGAAGGCGACUUUCUGGUCUGUAACUGACACUGAGGCGCGAAAGCGUGGGGAGCAAACAGG
rnacentral:rRNA from 1 species